UGUGUGUGUGUGUUGUAUAUUUUUUGGAAGCCUGUUGGUUGCAUUGAUUAUAAACUGUUUUAUAUUAGUAAAGAAAUGAAAAAUAAAACAAUACAUCUGAGUGAAUAGGUUGUGAUGUGGAUGCAGUAAUGUUGACGAAUGCUAAGCUGGUUCCACCAAACACAUUUCACUUGUGAAUUAAGCUGGAUCCAAGCCCAGGAGGUUCUGCUAUAGACAAUCUGACAGAUGUCUCCAUUCUUCUGAGACGCCUAACAAUGAAGCUAUCUAACUUAAGUAACAAGGCUCACUGUUUUUCUUGCACUUUUAAUAAAAGCUGAAUAGGUCUGGCUGUAUAUAUUGUGGUACAUUUACAUUGCUUGUUGUGAACAUUAAUCCACCAGCAUCAACUUCCCUUCUGUUUUAAGAAAAAAAAAAUACAGAUUUGCAUCUUAUUUACUGUAAUAUGACAGCUUGGUCCCACUCUCUGUAGGAGAUUGAUUUCCAUAAUGCAUUUGCAUUGAUGUGUCCAUUUUAAUUUUAGAGCAGUACAGGUCCACUGUCCAUUGUUUAUGAACAGUAAUUUCACUCUUCAGCCUUGUUGACUUGAAGUGUAAGUCAUUCAAAGAAGCAGCAAUAGCAGGCAAGUAUUACUUAAAUGCAUGUUGUAUUUUUGAAUGUGCAAAAAUGUUAAUGCUUGAUAUAUUAUAAUGUUAAUACGGUCAACAUUUGUAAUGUACUGUUAAUGAUUAAUUAGAUAGAGGCUGGUGCUAGAGUAAGUACAAUAACAUGAAUUCUAAAUGCAUUAUUAAAUGUGUUAAGUAAUGGAAGAUGGAAUUUUUAUUUAAUAGUAUUUAUUAUUAUUAUUAUUAUUAUUAUUAUUAUUAUUAUUAUUAUUAUUAUUAUUAUUAUUAUUAAUUAAGUAGGGAUUUAUUCCAUUCUAAAACCUGUCGUCAUUUAAACCCUUUCUGGCAUUUUCCAGAUUUUUACACACAGACAUGUGCUGGCGUUUCACAUGCACUAUUUGAGGUUUGAUUUUCAUAACCAUGCUACACAAAGAGCUGUUUUUACUGGUAUUUAGAUGCUUGAUUGGGGUUGUUUUGUGUAACUGACUGUCAUAUGAACUGUCGUCAAAAGAAAUGAUUUUGCAAUAGCCAGAAGCGUGUGCAAUUUAGGGAAAUUCUGAAUUAUUUCGCAUAUUUGUCAAAACUAUUGACUGAUCUAUUUACCAAUAUGACUGUAGCUGGUUACUUGAAUUGUUUUAACUGUUAUUUGUGUGUGUGUGUGUGUUUGAUGGGCAUGAUUAUAUUUUAUAUUGAUUUUCUUUCAGUUCUAAAGUUUCAACAAUGAAUAUCUAUGAAGAUAUUAUUUAUAUAACUGCUUUGCUUCUAUGCAUUGGCAGUGGAACACAAAUCUCUGGAGGUCUUCAAUGUAGUCUGAACCCACAAUGCUGCAAUCACACAGGAGAUGAAGACCAUUUAAAUGUCGUGGGUGGGGAGAAAUAUUACUGCUGUGAACUUGAACCAGGGAACUUCACUAAAAUUCUUUCAGAAACAUGCAAAACAAUUUGCCUGAAGGAACCAAACACAGAAAUUAAUAAAAGUCAAUAUUUCGUUUAUAAUGAAGAUUCGUUUUCCUGCUUUGGAGAUGCACAUAUUGAAGCAUCAAAUACAACUGUUGAUGAGGGAGACAAUAUCAGCCUGACCUGUUCAACUCAUGAAGAGGUCCGAGGAACGAGCUGGUUUAAAGACGAUGGAAUACUGGUCAACAGAACCCAAAGCAAUAAUCUGACCCUCACAAAAGUGCGUGCCAAUGAUGCUGGGUCCUAUUUUUGUACUGCUACAAAUUGUUGUGCAUCGAAUAAGAUAAAUAUCACCAUAAACUGUUCUGCUUUCAGUGUUAUUAUUAAUGCCACAUCAUUGGCUGUCAACGACAUGGAUAAUAUCACCCUGAUCUGUAUUACUGAUCAUGAAGUUCAGGAAGUUCUCUGGUUUAAAGACGCUGUACUCUUCAACAUAACCCAAAGCACUAAUCUGACCAUUACAAAGGUGUUGAAAAACAGCACUGGAUCCUACUACUGUACUGCAAUAAGAAGCUGUGGGAACAGCACUUCUAAUAAAAUAGACAUUACAGUUACUGAUAGUUCUCUUUUGAUAAUUAUCAUAUGUGGCCUUGGGGCAGUGGCCUUUCUCAUUUUGUUUGUCAUUGUGAUGAAAUGCAUGAUUAAAAACUCACAAGGUAAGAUUCACUGUGGAUGGGUGUAUCCAGAAACUAGAAUAUGUGGAAUGUGGGAUUUGGGAUCAUUUGUAAGUAUUUAUCAUUGUGGACUUAGAGUGUCAAUAAUUAUAGGGUUCUGAUUUCUCUGGGUUAUAUAAAAAUUUAAAAUAAGGCAAGAUUGGUAGGGUACGUCCAACGUUUUAUGUUGAACAAACAUUCACAUAUGAAUAUGUACUUCUAAAAUCUUUUUUCCGUCCAUUGAUAAAACAUUUUACACUGUUUACCUUCACACGGUCUACCUUAAUGUUUCCAUUGAAAUGUAACAACGUCCAUCACAGCGAUUUGGCACCCUGCUUUCUCUAUAAUUCUUUGUUCUUUACCUUGCUUUGACCAUGUUUCAUUAGACCAUUUAGCACAGUAAACUUUUAUAAGAAAUCCCCCAACAUUCUUUAGUAACUCCUAACAUAUGUACUGGUUUACUCAAUCUGUAUAUCUAAAUGAGUCCAUGAUCCCAGUGCAAGGGCUUUAUCUUUGAAGUUAGCUGCACUUAUUUCUUAUCAAAGUGUAUGUAAAGGUCUUUGAUUGCGUUUCCAGGAGUUACCACACUGAAAUGCUGUCUGACAGAGGGGGCAACGAGCCAUAUAUGAUCCUAUCAACCUUAAUAAAUGACCAUGUUUAAAAUGACAUUAAAAGUCAUGUUAGUAGCAAUGUGUAUGUUAAGUGGUUACAGACCAUGCAUUAAUAUAAUUGGACUGAUUGCAAGUUUUGAUUGAGAAACAUUUGGUAUCAAUGGUAACAGUUGGUAUUGAAUGCCUAUAGCAGUUCAGCACCUAUUUAUCAACAGGUUUGGGCACAGGAUUGGCUGAGUUACACAUUUAUUCCAGUGUGGGAUAGAAUCUGAGGCAUAUAGUCCAGGAACCACAUUCCUAACAGAUGUUGGCUGCAGUAGAUUAUGUACAGUAGUGGUUUAGAAAAGAACAUUUAAACAUAGGAAAGAAUCAGAUUGAUACAUCCAAAAGUAAGACAGGAAAGAAAAAGCAUAAAUCUUUUAUCUUUUGUAUUUCUAUAGCCAAAAGAAAGCCAAGGACGGUAUCAGAUGCCAACAGCACUACCACUGUAACUUCACAGUACUGAUGCAAAUUCACCAAUCUCAGGGACCAGUCAGGCCUCAUCAAACAUCAGUUUGUCCUCACACAGGGCAAUGAAAACACCUGCCCUGAUCCACCACAUCUUAUUUCACUGGGACGACAGAGGCUGAAUUAGCUGGUGAACAACUGUGAACGACGCUGUGUUGCACAACCAGAUAUGAACUACUAUAAUGAAACCGGAUCAGCAGACUCUCUUUCUUUAGCCUUUUAUUAGCAAGAAACUCAGGAUCAGACAGCACAGAUUUUACAACAACAGAUGUAUAUAGAAAAACAACAGUACGCAGUAAUGUAUCGGACUAGGGGACCGGUUUGUGAUAAAGGACAGGGGAGUUUAUUAUUUUGGAACUCUAAAUUAAGUUGCCGACACCUUAAAUAUACGCCCUGCGUCCCAAUGGAGAGUAGUGUAUAUUACAUUCCAGUAAUAUCCAACAUGUUAAAUACAUUGCUGUGUCUUUAUAUAUAUAUUAGUAAGCUCCAGCGCCCUCUAGUGCACAGCAGCGUAUUGCCAUCACUAGAUGGUGCUGGCUCAUAUGUCUGUUAAAAAAAAUUGAAAACCGCCACUAAUUUGCAUAUACCUAUGGCAGGUAACAAGAACUGAAGAGCAGCUAAUGAACCCAGGUGAAAGCCACUUAAACACAGACUUAUUAAAUAAUAAUAAUAAUAAUAAUAAUAAUAAUAAUAAUAAUAAUAAUAAUAAUAAUAUAACUUUUACUCUUUUACAAAUAUUACAUUUCUUACCUGUUUAAUCCUAUGGUGUAUGUUCUGCAUGAUUCUGUAUCGGUUUUUCAGCUUAGAUCAGAGAUUGCCAAGCUUACUAUGCAGCAAAAUAUUUCUGCUUAAAAAAAAAAAACUUAAUUGCAGAACAUUCUGUAAAUAGAGCACCAAAAAUGAACUGCAAAAAAAGUGAACCGUGUUGUGGUUUUAGAACCAGGAAAACCCCAUUGAGAUGGAGGCAUUAGCUUAAGUCAGAUUUGCUAAAGUAGUGCUAGACAAGAAUUUUAAAUCCAUAUUCCUACUCUAACUGCAAUCAGGCACAGACUUGUAUCUACUGCAUUGUUCUUGAAAAUGCUUUAUGUCCCCAGCUAAAGUAUAAAGACCAAAAGAACUAAAAGAUCUUAAACACAAAUACAGGUGGCCUGUGUGAUAAUGCUGCUAAUACUGAUAAGAAUUGAGGAAAUGGGGUUGAUUUUACACCCUUGGGUAGCACUCUUUAUGAUGGUCUUCAUAGAAGCUCUGAAUUGCUUUCCAUUCAAGACCACCACACUUCAUCACCAUACUAACCUUAGAAACAUUUAUGUGCCAACAAAUGAAGUUAGAUUACAUUUUCUCAGUUUAGUGACUUAUGUUUAAUUGAUGGUGCAGGCAUUAUUUGUACCUAUUAAAUCAUUUAAACAAUCUUGUCCAUCUUUGUCUUAAAACUGUACAGUACAUUACAAUACAACUGAAUGUAACUUUAGAACUAGGAAAUAAAGUUUCUUGAGCUCUUUUAAUGGCAUUAUUCAAUCAAAUUUUCCUCAAAUACAGUUUAACACAUUUUCUUUUUGGAAUUUGUGAAUGAAUAGUGCCACAGAAAAGAGAAAUAAUGCAGGUGCUGUAAUUCUUUGAUUGAAUAUGCCUCUUGGCUUUGUUUAGAUGGUAGAAAUAUAACUAUUUUAUCUAGGCCUGCUUUAUGUAAUUUUAUGUUUCUAUUAAUGAUGUAUUUGACUUGCUUUGUAGAACGGGAUAUAGGAUAGAAUUAUAAACUAAUA